GCCGCGGUAGCCCAAUCAGUAGAGGCGUCGGCAGUACAGGUGCCAAGUCGCAGGUUCAAAUCCUGCCCGCGGUG